rnacentral:rRNA from 1 species
AUGUACCCUGGUUUGGAUGAAAGGCAGCUGAUUGAUGAAAUCCGAGUAUUACUUGAGAAAAAAAGGUACUUAAUCGUCAUUGAUGACAUAUGGGAUAAAAAAACUUGGGAACUAGUCAAGACCGCUUUGGUGUGUACUAACUGUGGAAGCAGGAUCGUCACAACUACUCGUAUACUUGAAGUUGCCACAAGAACUGGUAAAGUAUAUAGGCUACAACCACUUUCUCGUGAUUUAUCGGAGGAUUUAUUUCAUAGAAGAUUAUUUGGGUGUAAAAUAAAUCAGCCUAAUCAUCUACCAUCAGAGGUAUACAAUAAAAUUUUACAUAAAUGUGGCGGUGUACCAUUGGCUAUAAUCACAAUAGCUAGUUUGCUCAUCAGUAAACCGGUGGAGCUUUGGUCUAAGGUAUACACCUCAAUUGGUUUUGGGCAUGAAGAGAAUGAAGACGUGGAAAACACAAGAAAAAUACUUUUAUUUAGCUAUUAUGAUCUCCCUUGUCACCUAAAGACUUGCUUAUUGUAUCUGAGCAUAUAUCCUGAAGAUCAUCUGAUUGGGAAAUAUAGUUUGAUAUGGAAAUGGGUCGCCGAAGGUUUUAUCCACGAGGAACCAGGGUUAAGACUAUUUGAGAUUGGUGAAAGGUACUUCAACGAGUUGGUGAACAAAAGCAUGAUAAUGCCAGUAGAAAUACCUUAUCAUGGAAUCAUAUUUGGUUGUCGUGUCCAUGACAUAAUGCUUGACGUGAUAUGCCUAUUGUCAAAGGAAGAAAAGUUUGUUGCUGUAUUGGAUAGUGACGAGCAAUAUACAACUUCACAUUGCAACUCUCGUAGGCUAGUUGUUCAUCGUAGGGUACAACCUUUGGCUAGCACAUCCACAUUACAAGCAAGGUCACUUAAUGCCAUGUGCAGUCAUGAGAUGUUGCCAUCACUUUCAUGCUUUGAAGUUUUGCGUGUCCUAGCUUUGGAUGGCCCCACUAAUUCACACUAUCCUAAUUCUCUUGAGCAUGUUGGGAAGUUAGUUCACUUGAGGCACCUCAAACUAAACAGCAUGGGUAUCCAUCAGCUCCCAAAGGAAAUAGGAUAUCUAAAGUUCUUGAUUGUAUUGGACUUGGCUGGAAAUAGCAUAAGUGAACUUCCCGAGAGUAUUCAUCUACUAAGUCAACUCAAGUGCUUGAACAUUAGCGAAACAAAUAUUGAAAUGCCAUGCUGGAUCGGACAUUUGACAUGUCUAGAAGAGCUAUGCCUAGGAAAAGUUGGUAUGCACUCAAAUUUUGUGACAGAACUGGGUAAGCUGACAGAGUUGAGGAAGCUCCGCAUUUCUAAAAGUGUGACUGUAGGUGGUAAUAUCGCAAUGAAUAGUUGGGCAGAGUCUGUAGCCAAACUGAGCAAGAUCCAAGUCAUAGACAUUGAUUUUUUUCUCGGGUACAGAUUCUCCAAUCACGACGACAACCCCUGGGAACAGAACAUCCUCCCUCCACAACUCCGUGUGCUGCGCAUGGCCUACCAAGAACCCGGGCUGGUGGCAACGAUCAAUCCCUCAGUUCUUUCCAAACUCUCCCAUUUACAACUAAAUGUAUACAGUCCAGACCUGGAGGUCUUUGGAUGUUUCCGAGAGCUUGUUGCCCUUGAGUUGGACACAUGGUCAGCUCUCCAUCAUGACACCAUGGGCGGUGCAGGUGCAUUCCCCAAGCUGAGGGUCUUCAAGACACAAGCAACGACUUGCUCAUUUCAAGAGGGAGAUAUGCCGGUCCUUGAAUAUCUUGAUUUCCAUGUCGUAGCACAUGCCAAUGAUGAUGAGAUUAGCUUUGAAUUUGACUUUAGUAGCCUAGGGAACCUCCCUUUCCUUCAGGAAGUCAGAGUCUACUUAUGGGCCCCUCUUGCGGAUUUCGAGAAUGCUGCUGAAACGGCAAAGCGUGCACAAUUGAUGUGCUUCCCAACUGCCUUAGGCAUCGUAUCAUACAACAGGAUACGAGGGAUUGGAGUCGGAGAUUCCCAAACUGAUUAA